rnacentral:rRNA from 1 species
GGCCUUAUGGUCGGCGAUGGAUCAUUCAAGUUUCUGACCUAUCAGCUUUCGACGGUACUGUAUUGGACUACCGUGGCAGUGACGGGUAACGGGGAAUUAGGGUUCGAUUCCGGAGAGGGAGCCUGAGAAACGGCUACCACAUCUAAGGAAGGCAGCAGGCGCGCAAAUUACCCAAUCCUGACUCAGGGAGGUAGUGACAAGAAAUAACAACACUGGAAAUUUUAUUUCUAGUGAUUGGAAUGAUGGGAAUCCAAACCCCUUUCAGAGUAACAAUUGGAGGGCAAGUCUGGUGCCAGCAGCCGCGGUAAUUCCAGCUCCAAUAGCGUAUAUUAAAGUUGUUGCAGUUAAAAAGCUCGUAGUUGGAUAUCUGCCUGGAAGCAGCCAGUCCGCCCUUUGUGGGUGUGCACUUGGUGAAUUCUGGCAUCCUCCUGAUUGGUGUUACCAUCACUUGAUUGUGUUGGUGGCAGCUGUCAGGACUGUUACUUUGAGAAAAUUAGAGUGUUUCAAGCAGGCUUGUUGCCUUGAAUACUGCAGCAUGGAAUAACAAGAUAGGAUUUCGGUUCUAUUUUGUUGGUUUCUAGGACUGAAGUAAUGAUUAAUAGGGACAGUUGGGGGCAUUCGUAUUUAACUGUCAGAGGUGAAAUUCUUAGAUUUGUUAAAGACGAACUACUGCGAAAGCAUUUGCCAAAGAUGUUUUCAUUAAUCAAGAACGAAAGUUAGGGGCUCGAAGACGAUCAGAUACCGUCGUAGUCUUAACCAUAAACUAUGCCGACUA